CGAAAGCCUGACGGAGCAACGCCGCGUGAGGGAGGAAGGCUCUUGGGUUGUAAACCUCUUUUGUUAGGGAAGAAGCGAGUGACGGUACCUAACGAAUCAGCAUCGGCUAACUCCGUGCCAGCAGCCGCGGUAAUACGGAGGAUGCGAGCGUUAUCCGGAAUUAUUGGGCGUAAAGCGUCCGCAGGUGGUUUUUCAAGUCGGCAGUCAAAGACCGAAGCUUAACUUCGGAAAGGCAGUGGAAACUGAAAAACUAGAGAUCAGUAGGGGUAGCGGGAAUUCCCAGUGUAGCGGUGAAAUGCGUAGAGAUUGGGAAGAACAUCGGUGGCGAAAGCGCGCUACUGGGCUGAGACUGACACUGAGGGACGAAAGCUAGGGGAGCGAAAGGGAUUAGAUACCCCUGUAGUCCUAGCCGUAAACGAUGGAGACUAGGCGUAGCUUGUAUCGACCCAAGCUGUGCCGAAGCUAACGCGUUAAGUCUCCCGCCUGGGGAGUACGCACGCAAGUGUGAAACUCAAAGGAAUUGACGGGGGCCCGCACAAGCGGUGGAGUAUGUGGUUUAAUUCGAUGCAACGCGAAGAACCUUACCAGGGCUUGACAUCUGUAGAACCCCGAUGAAAGUUGGGGGUGCCUUAGGGAGCUACAAGACAGGUGGUGCAUGGCUGUCGUCAGCUCGUGUCGUGAGAUGUUGGGUUAAGUCCCGCAACGAGCGCAACCCUCGUCCUUAGUUGCCAGCAUUAAGUUGGGCACUCUAGGGAGACUGCCGGUGACAAACCGGAGGAAGGUGGGGAUGACGUCAAGUCAGCAUGCCCCUUACGCCCUGGGCGACACACGUACUACAAUGGUCGGGACAAAGGGCAGCGAACCCGCGAGGGAGUGCGAAUCUCAACAAACCCGGCCUCAGUUCAGAUUGCUCUGUGCAACUCGAGAGCAUGAAGGAGGAAUCGCUAGUAAUCGCCGGUCAGCAUACGGCGGUGAAUUCGUUCCCGGGCCUUGUACACACCGCCCGUCACACCAUGGAAGCUGGCCACGCCCGAAGUCGUUACCCUAACCGUAAAAGGAGGGGGAUGCCGAAGGCAGGGCUAGUGACUGGGGUGAAGUCGUAACAAGGUAGCCGUACCGGAAGGUGUGGCUGGAUCACCUCCUUAAUUAGGGAGACCCAUUUGCCGAUAACUUGAAAAACCAAAAAAAGUCAAGGCAAAUAAUCCCAAGGUCGGGCAAGGGAAAAGGAAAAAGGCUUUCAAACAUUGAAAAGGGUUCGGGACGAGGGCUAUUAGCUCAGGUGGUUAGAGCGCACCCCUGAUAAGGGUGAGGUCCCUGGUUCAAGUCCAGGAUGGCCCACCUCGGCCCCGAAAAAAGAAUAAAAAAAGUUCAGCACCGACUUUUACAGUUGUGUAAAAGAGACUGCUGGAUUAAAAAAAUCUGGCAACAGAACCUUGAAAACUGCAUGGAAUAAACAGAGAUUAACCGAGAAAGAAAAUUACCAGGUCAAGCUAAAAAGAGCUAACGGUGGAUACCUAGGCACACAGAGAAUCACUAG
rnacentral:misc_RNA from 1 species